AACUUUUGACAACGGAUCUCUUGGUUCCCGCAUCGAUGAAGAACGCAGCGAAACGCGAUAGGUAAUGUGAAUUGCAGAAUUCAGUGAAUCAUCGAAUCUUUGAACGCACAUUGCGCCUUUUGGUAUUCCGAGAGGCAUGCCUGUCUGAGCGUCAUGAACACACCUCCGGUAGGGUUUCUUGCUUGCAAGAAUCAUCUACCUGGUCUUGGGACCCUGGGGCAACCCGGAUCCUUAAACAAGAAGCUUGCGAGCCGCCAUCUCAAUCACUAAAGCGUAGUAAACUUUGCCUCGCCUUGGUUGAGCCGGCCUGCGCCGCCUUGAGUACACAUGACACUUUUGACCUCAGAUCAGACAAGGAUACCCGCUGAACUUAAGCAUAUCAAUAAGCGGAGGCU
rnacentral:misc_RNA from 1 species